UUUUUUUUUUUUUUUGGCUUUUUAGGGCUGCACCCAUGGCAUAGGGAGGUUCCCAGGCUAGUGGUCGAAUCAGAGCUGUAGCCGCCGCCCUAUGCCACAGCCACAGCCACAGCCACGCCAGAUCUGAGCCAUGUCUGCGACCUACACCACAGCUCAUGGCAAAGCCAGACCCUUAACCCACUGAGCAGAGACUAAAUAGAACACAAAAGACCCACAAACUGCUGCUGUUGGUAUAUAAACAUCUAACUAAACACUAGGAUAAGUCAGGCCUAGUAAAUCUGUCUUCUCAGAAAUUAGAAUAGGGCUAUCAAAAAUAGUAAUCAUUGGAGUUCCUGUUGUGGCUCAGUGGUUAACAAAGCUGACUAGUAUCCACGAGGACAUGGGUUCAAUCCCUGGCCUUGCUCAGUGGGUUAGGGAUCCGGCAUUGCCCUGAGCUGUGGUGUAGGUCACAGACUCGGCUUGGAUUGGGCACUGCUGUGGCACAGGCUGGCAGCUGUAGCACCAAUUUGACUCCUAGCCUGGGAACCUCCAUAUGUCAAAGGUGCAGCCCUAAAGAGACACACAAACACACAAAAAAGCAGUAAUCAUAGCUAGCAAAGGGAACUGAAGCUGAAAGAAUACAUAGCAAGCCAAUAUAAUGCAGAGGUGAGGCCACAAAGGCCACAAGGAAGCAAAACUUACGGCAAAGGUGAAGCCCUAAGUAAGCAGAACCUAUGAAUAAGCUAAAAAUAUGAGGAGGGAAAAAAAAAGAUAAAACAAAAUGGACAGGCCAGGCCAACAGGCAGUAAGAGAAAUAAGACACAAAAGUUAAGACAGAGUAGCUCAGUUACAUAAACGGCACAAUCCUAACAUGAAGAACCACAAACUCUUGCUGCUGAGUUUCCCAGAGCUUCUCUGGACCCAGGUCCCAUUCCCUAAAAGCCAUAACCAUAUUAAAGUUCCCCUAUAUUUGGAAUGUCAUGUGAUUCCAGUCACCAUUAUUUUCCCACAAGCCAAACAAUAACUUGUCAUUAGAUCAUUGUGGAAUCUGUUUCUAGCAAUCAGAAGUGCCUAAUCAAUAGUAAGAAGCAGAAUAGCCCCUCAUGGGGAAUGCAAUUUAGGGAACUGACUGUGAUCUUGUGGAAAACCCCUUGUUUUAAAGAUGCUGUGCAAACCAGCUUGUGGCAUGGAAUUUACAUUUUAUAUUCAAUUUAGAAGGUGAGAGGUUGAGAGACUUGGUAGAUGCUGCAAAGAAGCAGCAUUAGGGAGCUAAAGUGGACAGAAUAAAGCAGAUACGUCAUAGUGUCACCCAUGCUCAAAAUUCUUCUAAAGGAAACUGUACUGCAAACAAGUCUAGCCAAGAAAACAUUCUUGCCACCAAUUAUCCCUCCUCUGAAUCCAUGGCUAUUCAGAUCAAGGGUAAGAAUCAGAACCAAGGACAGACAUCCACAAGCCAGUCAUCAGCCUAUGAUUUACUAUAUGAAAGCUGUCCCCAAACAACGAGGUGAGAAAAUUAGGUUUAACUUACAACUGAGGAAAAAGAGAGGAGUAAAAUUACUCUGCAGCUGAAAUGAAUGGAUAUGUGAUCAAAGAAUAUACCACAGCCUAUGUUAAGAAUCAUGAAGGAUUUAAGUAAGAUCAACUGGUAAACCCAAAAAUAAGAAGCUAAAAAUUAGCAGAAACUAUCCAUCAGAAAUAGGAUAAAGAACAGAGGAUGAGGAAGCCAGAUAGCAGCAGGAAGAUACUCAAAGGAUAUAGAGAAAGCAGGGUCAUGUAUUCAUUUGUGAGACUUCAGGUUCCAAAAAUAGUUAGGUAUGUAUGGUACUUUUGGAUGUCCCACAACUGGGUUGCCUUCUGGUUUUAGAGCAAUUAAGUGACUCUGGAUAUACCUGUGAUAGGUAAGUUAAGUUAGUCUAAAGCACUUUGGGAUUACAAAAAGGGAAAGGAAACCAUUUCCACAUGGCAAUCAAUAGAGGGAAAUGUCCUAGACUGCCAAAUAACAAAUGCUACACCUGUAGUCUGAGGAAACUUAAUCCACAGGCAAUCGGAUUCUCAAUUUAAUGACAACUGGGCAGUAUGGAGACCAAGAAUGGAAACAGAUAUGUGCAGAAAGAUGAGGCUGAGUAGAGACCAUGCCUAUAGAGGCUGCACAAACUCAAGUUAUGAAUGAGAAAAAAACAAAGUACUCAGUAGCUAGGUGGUAGAGGAAGACAGAGUAUGAAGAAACGAGUUGAAAGUAGAAGAUAACAUGCAGAAAACCAGAGAAAUAAGAUGAAUCACAUGAAUAAUACCACAAGGGAGGCAAGUUCUAUAAACUUCUUAAAAUGAUCCAAACGAGCUCAUUUCUUGCAAUAAAAUUUGGAUUGUAAGGAAUACACCCUUAAAAGGAAUGUAAUAUGAAAUUGGUUAUAAUAAAGCAACAAGGUAGAUAGCCAAGCAAAUCACUUUCCUAUCCCAGAAUAUCAUACUAAUGACAUGCAAAGUGGCUACCACCCAGAACUUAAAAUUGGCAGGGAGCUCCCUGGUGGUCUAGUGGUUAGGACUCACUGCUGUGGCCCAGUCUCCCCCUACCCGCUGCCAAAAAUACUGUGAAAUAUAGCCAGAAAUAGGUAAUCAGUAGCAGCGACUGGGGGUGAAAAAGUGCUCUAAGAAGUCAUGAGGGGAGAUGAGAGGCAUAAACAUGAGGAAGUCCACAAUGACUAAGCAGAAACUGUACGAAAGCAAAAGUUAUGAAGCAAAAUGUCAGAGUCGGUGUUAGCAAACAACAGCCCAUAGGCCAAACAAAUCCAGCACCAUCUUUUUUUUUUUUUUUUUUUUUUUUUUUUGUCUGUUUGCCUUUUCUAGGGCCGUUCCCACGGCAUAUAGAGGUUCCCAGGCUAGGGGUCGAAUCAGAGC
rnacentral:lncRNA from 1 species